GAUGGGAUUGGUUCAAAAUAUUCAACCAUCCAAAUCCACCACUAAACUCCAUAUUGUUUACAAACACCAACAAGUACUGAUCAAUUUAUAUCCUUGUGCCGCAAAAAUUGGAAAAUAGAGGAGCAAGUACCUGUCUAGCACUGCACCAUUGCUUGGGAACUAACAGUACAUAAUAAAAGGCAAAUGAUAACAAGAACACAGUACGUAAUAAAAGGCAAAUGAUAACAAGAACACAGUACAUAAUAAAAGCCAAAUGAUAACAACAACUUAUAACCCCAAACAAUUGGACAAGGCAUGUCAGUUAUGGUAUGAUCAUACUCCAGGUCCAGCUGCCUAAUGCUUAAUGGUUUUCUGUUUGCCCCAAAAUGCUCGCAUGCAAAGCCUAUGCCACUUUACUAGUAUAGAUAAAAGAAAGUUGUUUUAGUGCAUGGUACCUCUAUAUGCUUAUUUGAGAGCAUCCAUGUGAGUUUAUGAACAUAAAUGCAUGCAUACAUUAUGGCGUAACAAAGUAUAUAAUGCCACUUUACUGGUAUAGAUAAAAGAAAAUUGUUUUAACGCAUGGCACCUCUAUAUGCUUAUCUGAGAGCAUCCAUGUGAGCUAUGAACAUAAAUGCAUGCAUACAUUUUGGCGAAACAAAGUAUACACCGUGUCAUUUUUAUUAGACAGACCAAUUUAUUGAUAUAAUAUAUGCCAAACAGCAGAUUAGUACUUUGUUGUUCUUUAUAAUCCACAAACAUCAAGUUUCUAAUAUGUUUUUAUCUGUAAAUAAAUUGAGCAUAUCUUAAUUAUGUAUUUAUGCGUCCACCACUCACAAAAACCACCAUAUACAUGUAAAUACAAACAAAUAGACAUAUACAUACACUUUGAGAGAAAGAUUGGACAUCGUCCAGUCCUACAUAAAUGCAUACAAACAUACUACAUUCAUACAUAUAUUUGAAGAAGCCGAUGAUUAGUAUUUUGAAGCACGUCAUGACAUCAGCAGAGCCAUAGUGCAGCAGGGACCAUGCACCAGUGUUACUACAAUUAAAUGAUUCAUAUUCUAAAAUGAUCUGAGCAUUAGAAAUUUCCAAGUAGCAUUACUUGAAAAAUUAAGCAUGGGUUUCAAAACAUGGACCAAAAAUUGUUUUGCUGAAGUCUGGCUGGUUUCUAAUAAAGAAAACAGAUGUGUGAGAGCAAAGUGUCAUGAAGGAAAUAUAUGGUACCAACUAUUAACAAGGAUGUGGUAAUUCUUCUUGCACAGUGAAUGGAAUAUCUAGUAAUGUUUUCCACUAAAAAGGAAGAGUCAUACAACAAUUACCUCACCCUUCGUACGCAUGCAGAGCAUCGGAAAAG
rnacentral:lncRNA from 1 species